rnacentral:rRNA from 1 species
UUGAAAGGGAAACGAUUGAAGUCAGUCGUACCGACGAGAAAUCAGCUUAUCGUGUGUUAACUUGUGGGCGUGCGUGAGUUUCGGCCUCGCUGUUUGCAUGUUUGUGCGCUUUGGGUGUACUUUUUCGUAUGGUUGGCCAACAUCAGUUUCGAUCACUAUAAAAUGACUGGCGGAAUGUAGCUUCGAUUUCGGUUGAAGUGUUAUAGCCUCUGGUAGAUGUGGUAAUUGGGACUGAGGAUUGCAACGAAUAUCCUUUGGGCUAUCCGUCUGGCCUCUGAAAGUUGCUCGGGUGCUGAAAGCUUGCUUAUGGUUAUCUAAGUUAACGGUCAAUAGGUUAGAACGCGAUUACAUUCGUUAAGGAUGUUGACGUA